GAUGAAGAACGUAGCGAAAUGCGAUAAGUAAUGUGAAUUGCAGAAUUCAGUGAAUCAUCGAAUCUUUGAACGCACAUUGCGCCCGCCAGUAUUCUGGCGGGCAUGCCUGUUCGAGCGUCAUUUCAACCAUCAAGCCCUGCUUGCGUUGGGGUCCUGCGGCUGCCCGCAGGCCCUGAAAACCAGUGGCGGGCUCGCUAGUCACACCGAGCGCAGUAAUACAUCUCGCUUUGGGCGUGCGGCGGGUUCUUGCCGUUAAACACCCCCUUUUUACCAAGGUUGACCUCGGAUCAGGUAGGAAUACCCGCUGAACUUAAGCAUAUCAAAAGGGGAGGA
rnacentral:misc_RNA from 1 species